rnacentral:rRNA from 1 species
GACGAACGCUGGCGGCGUGCCUAAUACAUGCAAGUCGUGCGGACCUUUUAAAAGCUUGCUUUUAAAAGGUUAGCGGCGGACGGGUGAGUAACACGUGGGCAACCUGCCUGUAAGACUGGGAUAACGCCGGGAAACCGGGGCUAAUACCAGAUCGUUUUUUCCUCCGCAUGGAGGAAAAAGGAAAGGCGGCUUCGGCUGCCACUUACAGAUGUGCCCGCGGCGCAUUAGCUAGUUGGCGGGGUAACGGCCCACCAAGGCAACGAUGCGUAGCCGACCUGAGAGGGUGAUCGGCCACAUUGGGACUGAGACACGGCCCAAACUCCUACGGGAGGCAGCAGUAGGGAAUCUUCCGCAAUGGACGAAAGUCUGACGGAGCAACGCCGCGUGAGUGAAGAAGGCCUUCGGGUCGUAAAACUCUGUUGCCGGGGAAGAACAAGUGCCGUUCGAACAGGGCGGCGCCUUGACGGUACCCGGCCAGAAAGCCACGGCUAACUACGUG